UACGUAGGGUGCAAGCGUUAAUCGGAAUUACUGGGCGUAAAGCGUGCGCAGGCGGUUGUGCAAGACCGAUGUGAAAUCCCCGGGCUCAACCUGGGAACUGCAUUGGUGACUGCACGGCUAGAGUGCGUCAGAGGGGGGUAGAAUUCCACGUGUAGCAGUGAAAUGCGUAGAGAUGUGGAGGAAUACCGAUGGCGAAGGCAGCCCCCUGGGAUGACACUGACGCUCAUGCACGAAAGCGUGGGGAGCAAACAGG
rnacentral:rRNA from 1 species